GUAGGGGAAACUCACGAAGAUAGCUUCGAGUGAAAAAGGAAUUAGAAAUGUCCUAUAUAUUAAAUUCCUACGGCGAUAUGCCCGUGCACAUCAAACCACGAUAUAAAAACAAAAGGGUGAAGAAAUUGAACAUAACUGCACUCAGCGUUCAGAGUUGAACAUUUCGAAAAUAUACCUCGUUCGCCCAAGUUUGAGAAUAACGGACUCCUUUUGAUGUGCAGCAUACGAAAAGAGAAUAUGGCCAUGGAUAGAAUUACCAUUGAUUGGAGGGCUGUUUCAGCAAAAAGUGAUCGGAAGUUGGUUUUCAAUGACCGAAACGACUUCUCUCAAAUGAGUUCCAGAUCACUGCCUUGUCGUGCUUGCGAACUCCCCUUCACGAAAUAAUGGUUAUUGGACCCGUUCAGUCCUAAGACGGGUCAGCAUCAUCCCAAUGCAUUUAUUUGCCAACCAAAGAGUUGAUGUCAACCCAAGCGUUUCAAUAAGGCCGACUUGAUUUUUUUUUUUUUUUUGGUUGCGGCAACAUGGACGAUUACGACCAUAAUGCUUUGCUUUGCGCCAUGUUGGUGACUGGUGAAAAGACCCAGCAUGGAGAAGCAGGGCAACUGUGACGGCGAAUUUGACAGAGUAUAGAAGUUCCCACUCGCGAAAGCUUCAGAUUUCACACAAAAAUGACUCCACGCAUUCCACUGCACCAAAAUGGCAAUCGAUCAAUCGUAGAAGUUUGUCAAAAAAAAAAAAAAAAAAAAAAAAAAAAAAGGAUGAAGGAGAG
rnacentral:sRNA from 1 species